ensembl:lncRNA
CAAACACCGACAACAUCCACAUCAACUUUCACACCGACAUCUUGGCCUUUUCUCUUCACCACAUUGAGGGUCGGGUCGGGUCGAGGGGGGGGGGGGUGAAUCAACAUCAGAAACCCAAAGAAGACCACGGCCAAACGGCCUGGGCCCCUUCAUGGCCAGAAGGCCCUUUGACCCCCUCAGUUAAAAAUACCACCACCAUGCACCUCAGCGGUCGCAACUUCACACUCCAAGCUAAAAAUGGCCGCCGUUCCAAAACACCUGGUCUCCACUCGUCAGCGGCGGCGGACGAGGCUGCGGCUCGCCUUACGUCUGCCGCACGCUCCCAGCGGGACUCAUUACCGCUCAGGUGCCCGGCUCCUCACCCUGAGGGGACGGGAGGGGACGUGGGGCCCCUCCCUUUGAGGCUGGCCCCCCUGAAGCUGGCCCCCCUGCAGCUCCCCAAGGAGAAAAAGAAACCCACGGACAAGCAGACCUCUGGCAGUGCCCGAAAGAAGGCCCUGAAGAGCCCAGCCCCGGCCCCGUCCGGGCCCCCCGGAGCAGACCGCUGAUCGGCCCCUCCGCGGGGACAUGUUGUGCCGAGGGGCCGCCGUGCACACAAAGCCGUCCCCCCCCUCGUCCUCACUUAGAUCCCCCCCCCGCCCUGGUGGUCCCGGGCCAGAAGCCCCCCGGGGCCGCAGCCCCCCCGGAGACAGGCAGGAGGCGUCUGAGGCGGCCCCCACCCAUGGAGGAGGGCAGGUCACAUGACAUCGCAGCAACGGGUGACCCAAAGUCCCGGCCCCCGGCCGCCCGGCCCCCGGCCGCCCCAGUGGCCCCGGAGGCCCAGCGGGCCGACAGGGCCCUGAGGCAAGCGGGGCACGUGCUGGGGGACGCGGCCAAGAGGGACGCCGAGCGGCGGGACCCCCGGACC